ensembl:lncRNA LINC02981 long intergenic non-protein coding RNA 2981
GCACCGCAUCGCCGCUUUGCCCCGCGACCGCGCGCGCCUCCUCGUCCUCCCCCGCGCCUUUGUUUCCGUCUCCUUCUCCUUUCCCUCCUCUUUUGUGUCGGGCCAGACUCAGCCCCAGAAACCAGCCACCCUGCCGCGUCCGACUGCCAGGGAUCCCUCACGCCGCGAGGAAGAGACACUAGAGAGACACUCAGCUGCAGUGAGAAUACACAGGCAUCUUCAAGUACCAGAGAUGUCUCCAAGAGCACCAGCAACCCCAGCUAUCUGGAUCUGAAGUGGAUAUGCUCAGAGACAUCCUGGCCCACCCCAAAGAAGAUGCUGCUGCACUCAGAAGACGCCAGAGCUAGCCACCACCCACACUGCAAGUCUGGAAGCUCUGCAAGGACCCAGCAAGGCAGCCUGCUCAGCGAAGGCUUUGUCUCCUGUGGCAGGAAGAGCAACAUUAAGAACAAGAACCCCGGGCUGGACUACCCCUGAGAUUUAAUGACCAGAGCUGAGACCCCCAAGACCACAAUGACUAUGGAGGGCUGUCAUUACCCUGCCUGACCCUCUAAUGCCUCUCAGUUCAAGGAGGCCACUGAGUGAAACUGAAGGCUGGUUUUCCUUGGAAGCCAGCGGCCCAUCCACCUGCUCCACUUCCCUGCCUCUUGCAGCCUCCGCUCAAACACUGUCGUGGCUUGGCAGCACUACAAGGCAGAGUGAAAACAGAUACUUCUACCCACAUUCCUAUCUCCUCUCAUUUACGCAGAUUAAAUGCUUUCUUUCCUUGUUUUACACUGCUAGGAUUUUCAUCACCCUGUUUUUUCUUUCUCUACAUCAGCUACAAGAAAAAAAAAAGGAGUUACUGAGCAACUAAGAAGUCACAACUGUUUUCAGUUUUAUUAAUGAGUUGUUAUACUUAUUUUAUAGAUAGAGAAUUACCAUUAUAACAUUGCUCCAUUGCCCACUCAUCCAUUCACGCAUCUGUCCAUCCGUCCAUCCACCCAUUUGUCCACUCCCCAAAUGGUCAUCAAUUGUCUACUGUGAGCCAAGCAAAGUGCUCCUUACUUUGGACUCUGAAUCCAGUGCUCUUUCUACUUCACCAUAGACACAUGCCCCUUGAGUAUAAGGGAGCUUGAUUCAUUCAACAAAUAUCUGUUGUCCAUCUCCAAUGUACUGGCAUAUUCUAAAUGCAUCCAACAAAAACCAAAAUGAAAAAAAAGAAAAACCCAUUCCUUCAAGGGGAUUGCAUUCGGACUGGGGGAGACAGAUAAAAUAAAAAUAAUGAAGUCAAAUAUAUAUGUUAGUGACAUGUGCCAUGAAGAAUAAUGCCCAAUAGGUAAAUGGGGCAAUUAACAAACGUAAUGUAAAUAAAUUAGUUCCAAGAAAUCAUUGACUCACCAACAGAGGGAACACAAUUUGGUCCAUGGUAAAAUAUUCCUUGGUAUUAAUAAUUUCUUCUCCUAAAGUAUUUCAGGGGCUGCCAAGCUGCUCUCCUGUUUCCUCUUCCUUGGGGCUGAUUGCAUCCCAUGAUGUGCCCAGGUUUUGAGAUGCUCCUCGUGAAUGAAAAUAGGACUGUCUGGUUCCUCCAUCCAUAGCAAGGGAGCCUAGACAGAAAUAACUUCUGUGCAUUUCUCCAGCUACAUUUAGGGAAAACUAGAAAAUACAGAAAUAUAUCAAGAAGAAAAAAAAUUUAAAAAUGACCCAAAA